GGCUUAACCCAUUAAAAUACCAUAGGUUGUAUGUCAAACAAUACAAUCUAUGGUGCCUUUAAUGUAGAAUUCCCACGGUUGUAGAGAACCUUUAUUGUACUUACUUAAAAAUCACAAUAAUUUUAAACGUUAACAAUACAUUUUAUAAUAUAUUUAUUGUUUCUUGUGUUUUGUUUUGCGCAUCAAAAAACGAAACAAACGAUGCAUUUUUCCUGACUUGUUAAUGAUAUAAUCUUGCCUUGAGUUCAAAAAAAUACAAUUUAAGAAUAUUCUAUUGAUUUAUUAUAAUGAUAAAAUAACAAUUGAAAACAAUAAAACAACAAUAGUUGAAAUUUUUUUUAUAAAUUGAUUUUAAAUAUUACAAGUCUUGAAAUGAUCACCCACUUCUACAGCACAUUGCCACCCUUCAACACAUUUCAACAUUUCGUUCAAAUUAAUUCAAAUUAUUCUGGCAACACUAUCGUUUUGAACGGUGUUUUUAUUUUUCUUUCUUGUUUAUAUUUAUUUCUUGAUUAAAUGUUUUUUACAAAAUAUUUAAAAUCCACUAAAUAUUAAGAUCUAAAAUCAAUAAAAUAGAGGUGUAUUGUCGCAUGUGAUUGUCCCGUUAUAAUAAAAACCCCGUUUUGUUCACUUUUGUUAGAUAGGUAAGAAAGAAAAGUUGUGCUUGAUGUUUAGACAUUUAGCUGUGCGUCUAUCUGGUGUCCGACAAGUACAUAUGAGCAGCUAUGUUUGGAAGGAGGCAGAUAUUACUGCUGUACAAGAAACUGUUGCCAACAUAGCAAGUCACUGUUCAAAGCUCGAUCACCUUGCUGUUUGAAAACAACAACAAAUCAUCUUCCGGGGCAGCAAAGUUGGCUGGAUUUGGCCAACCAGUGGCUCAGGCUUCGCUGUUCGGCCAGGCAAGUCCGGUGGUGGAAUCGACACACCUAGAAGGUCCGAGCAACAACAGAAGUGGAUUGGUUACCAGUCUGCCACAAGGAAUGACCAGCAAAAGCAAAUUUCGCUGCUGUUAAAUAGUAGGACUAUCUUCAGAAGCAGCGGUAAUCUACAUUCGAAUGGAUUCUGGCGGAUUGAUCCUCAUUUUUCCCGCACCCGGUCUUCUCGUCGCGAGGGGCAAUCGUCCGAAUACCAUUAGAAACGUCGCAUCCCGAACAGCUUAAGUGCUUCAGAAGAACGGAUACUAUAUUUAUUUACAUCAUCAGGCCACUGGCUGACAAAGAACCGUUGAGGACAAGGCGGUUCACCCAAAGAGGCUUUUACUAAUCGGAUAGGAGCAAUGGACAUUCAUAUGACGACACUGUGGAAGCCGAGAAACAGAUCCAAAAUGCCGGCUAAAUCAUUGAACCAGAUGGUUUAUUGACGAAGGAGCAAACUAUGUGGCCAAUUAUCAAUGUGCAUACGAACACAAGUUGAAAAUGAAAUAAAAAUAAACAUAUUUUCCAUGACAUAAAAA